UGUUUCUUAUCAAGUGGCUGACAUGUAUUUCUGGCAAUGGAAAUCAAAUUUCGACCAACCAUUUUAUUUCGUGGAAGAAUGAACGAAACUUGAAGCCUCUUUUGACAUUCAAAAAUGCAACAUUGGAGCGAAAAAUUAAUCUGGAUUUCUGACAGGACGACGAACUGAUUUUGGGAAGAGCUGCUACAUCAGUGCAUCAUUCAGGUA